rnacentral:rRNA from 1 species
UGGGGAAUAUUGCACAAUGGGGGAAACCCUGAUGCAGCGACGCCGCGUGAGUGAAGAAGUAUUUCGGUAUGUAAAGCUCUAUCAGCAGGGAAGAAGAAAGACGGUACCUGACUAAGAAGCCCCGGCUAACUACGUGCCAGCAGCCGCGGUAAUACGUAGGGGGCAAGCGUUAUCCGGAUUUACUGGGUGUAAAGGGAGCGUAGACGGCUGUGCAAGUCUGAAGUGAAAGCCCAGGGCUCAACCCUGGGACUGCUUUGGAAACUGUGGGGCUAGAGUGCUGGAGAGGUAAGUGGAAUUCCUAGUGUAGCGGUGAAAUGCGUAGAUAUUAGGAGGAACACCAGUGGCGAAGGCGGCUUACUGGACAGUAACUGACGUUGAGGCUCGAAAGCGUGGGGAGCAAACAGG